rnacentral:misc_RNA from 1 species
AAGAGUUUGGUACCUUCGGGUACUAUCUCCCACCAAUUGUGAACCAUAUUUCGUUGCCUCGACAUCCGAUGUGUACCCAUUCGGUGUACCCAUCCUUCGGUUGUUUCUCACCUGAAGAGUGAUGUCGAAGGAUUUUCAAACUAUAUUUAAUCAAUUAUCUGAGUUAAAAAACAAAUAAAAACA